ensembl:snoRNA small nucleolar RNA SNORA2/SNORA34 family
CUGGCCCUGAUUCAAGGCCAGCAGCUUCCUGACGCUGUUGGUUUCAAGCAGGAGCCUAAAGAGAUGUCUUUUCAUUAUCUGUUGGCCAUUUCAGAACAUGGACAGUGAAAUGGUCAAUUUCAUUAGAAAGAAACAGUU